ensembl:snoRNA small nucleolar RNA SNORA5
UGCAGCCUUGUCAAAUUCAGUGCUUCCUCUACGAUGGACUUCACUGGCCAAAAUGGCUGCCACAGUAACAAUUUAGUUCAUGGGCCCCGCAUCCCUUUCACAUGGUUGCAGGGGAUACAUUUACACUAAAAACAAUA